GCUGCAGAUCAGCAAUUGAUAAAUAAUUGAGUAACAUUUGGAAGGAUGCUUUCACUGCAGCGGUCAAUUGUUAAACAAUAAGUGUCUAAAUAUUCGAUGUCAAUCAACCUCACAUAAAAGGUGCGAUAUCGUAAUCUGAGAAUGUGGCUAAAAAAUUAAUCUGUUGAACACGCUAAACUUCUAUAUAUAGUUAUGAACAGAAUAAAAUAUAUAUUAUCAGAGACAUAAAUAACUUAAUAAGUUAUUUAUGUCUCUGGUUUUAUAAGUUAACAGUUUUAAGUCAAAGAUUAAAUAAAAUUUGUUCUCAGGAUUAGAAGUAAUGAUAUACAACUACAUUAAGCAAUAAAGUCGGUCGAUCGUCAUUAAAUCAUCAGAGUACUGCAAUUGUCGACAGUUUCUCAUUUCUUUGAAAUAAUUGUAGUAGUUCAAUUGACUUGCAGACUAUAAUAUAGCGACUUUUCUGCCUCCCAAAAAUGUAUGCAUUUAAUUGCGAUAGAUAUUUGUUCUUGGGGAUUUUACUUACUGUUAUAUGCACAUUGAUAAAAAAAAAUCAUUGAAGUUGUGUAGUAUGAGGUUGUAAUGCAGAUUUAGUGACCUAAACCUCAGCUGAAUAUAUUAUUUUUAAUCUAGCUUGUCAAAAUGGGAGAUUGUUAACUUGUAGCUUGUUAACUCUGAAAAAGUCUAGAACAGAAGAAAUAAAGUCUUUAUAGCUUUC
rnacentral:sRNA from 1 species